GAUGCUAUGCAUCCCACCUUUCUUCAUCAAACAACUAUCGUGUGUGUUCUCAGUUGAUCACUUGUCUGGAAUAUGAUGUUAUCUGCCUCCAGCUGACUGAGUAAGGAAGUUCACAAUCUGAAAGAAAGAUUGAUGUCACGCAUGAAAUAAAUCAUUGGUGAAACAGGAAAUACACUUUGGCAAACAUGAAUUUAUUGGGCUACAUGAAUGCCAUUGUAUAUUGCCAAACAUUGAUACUUGUAAAUUAUGGCUUCAUGUCAUUCUGCUAUUUCCAAGCCACACUUGUUAAUUUUUAAGUUAUGUUUGCGAUGAUGCGUAGGCACCUCAAAGGAGAUUAUUUGUGUAAAAGGGGAGCGUAUGCUUGAGUGGGUUGUCGAAAUUUUCAGUUUGGUGCACAUAUAUACCACCUUAAAGUAUAGUUCUGAAACAACUUAAUUAUUUUUUAUUUUCCUUUUGCCAUGGAUGACAUGCAUUUUUGGUUAUUAAUAUACAUUAGAUGAAAUUAUCCACACACAAUUAGGUCAAAUUUCAAUAGAGUAAUUGCUAUAUUUGUAUAGUUUUUCUUUUCGUUUGUAUUGAUGUGACUUCAUUGAAAGGGUUUGGAGAUGAUAGAUGUUGUCAUGUUCUAGCUUGUAUAUCUAUCUAGCAUCAAGACCUUCCAUAAGCGAAUUACGUUUUCUCUAAUAACUUUAUUUACACUGGAAUUGCACUCAUAUUGGCUGCUCCUAGCUUUUGAAUGAAUUAGGUGAAUCCCUAACACCUUAUUUAGUAGACCAAACUGUUGAUAUCAUAUUUGUGUAUUGUUGUUAUUCUCAUUUACUAAAGCUAGGUUAGAAGUAUCAUUGUGAAGAGCUUACAAUGUGUUAUGUGCGCACAUAUUCAUCUAGUGAAUAUCAUUGCACCUCCUUUUCUCUUGUACUCAGCUCAGUUUUUCCGUACAUACUCAAUGAGGAGAGGGGCCUGAACUGUCUCUUAUGGACUUAUAGAUGCAUACCAGAGGCAAUACUUACCAAACUUCAUAAAAAUGAUCAUACUAGGGUGUUAGAGCAUUUUUAAUCACAGAAAUAUCAUUAGAUUGGGUGGAGGCAAUAUUAGUUCUAAACAUCUUUUAGGUUACCUUAGUUAUGCACGCGAGUGAAGGGAAAAUACAAGGGAAAUUGGUGAUUACAUGUCGCUUUGUUGGUAUGUCGUCCUCCCUACUCAUCAUUUCUCGUGAUGCAUAUGCACCAUUUCACAGAUUUCCUAAAGGCGUAAACGAAGCGAUUGUAAGGCGAGACAGUCAAAAUUUAGAAUGACAACAAUGCUAGAGCAAGGGCAGAUAAAGAAUGCAUGUGUAGGGAAAGAAGGGGGCAAGGAGAAAGACGGGGCAUUGUAUUCUUCCAAGAAGAGGGCGGUGAAGGAAUCAACGACAUAGGGACACACUUCUAGAUCGGCCGAGAUACCUUUGUUUUUCUUGUAUUUCACCGUAAGAAAAAGAGACACAAUGGUUGCACAGGAGUAAAUAAGUGAAGAAAGAAUAAAUAUUUAUGGUUUAUAUUGAUGAAUAUACAUCAUGUUGGAUA